rfam:Sarcophilus harrisii ctg7180001395050, whole genome shotgun sequence.
AAAAAGGUUCUUUUUAGAAUCAUAAAUUUAGAACUUGAAGGGACUU